rnacentral:rRNA from 1 species
GACGAGGGCGCGAGCGUUUGUCCGGAUUUAUUGGGCGUAAAGAGCUCGUAGGCGGUGUGUCACGUCGGCCGUGAAAACCUGCAGCUUAACUGUGGGCGUGCGGUCGAUACGGGCAUCACUGGAGUUCGGCAGGGGAGACUGGAAUUCCUGGUGUAGCGGUGGAAUGCGCAGAUAUCAGGAGGAACACCGAUGGCGAAGGCAGGUCUCUGGGCCACUACUGACGCUGAGAAGCGAAAGCAUGGGGAGCGAACAGG